rnacentral:lncRNA from 1 species
AGGUGGCGUUCUACAUAUAAACAUUACUCAAUGGACAACGAAGAAGACUGCAAUUAAUAACAAAUCUCAUGACAGACAAGCGUAUAUUUAAAUUGGACCUCAUUGGAAAUGGACUGGACUCGUCCUAAUGGGCGUUCCUGAUGCUAGUGAUGUAGACAAAGAAGCCACAACUAUUAGAAAAGAAUGUCCAGACUGAAAGGGCAACAGAACUUUCCAAUUAUUCAUAGAUAGUAAUGUUGUAUUAUUACUGCUAAUGUUUAUCUUAUUAAUAAAGUAACCCAUUUGUUGUGAAGAAUAUAGACAUUUAAGAUAAUGAGAUAUAACAUUUUGAGGAUUAAAAUCAGGUCUAUUGAUUUUUGCCGGAUGUACAUGAUAUAAACCUACAGUAUAUAAAUAUAAAAUGUAUACAUAUAUCCAAACUUGAUUUCAAUGCUUGAAAAUAAAUAUCAAAUG